rfam:Felis catus isolate Cinnamon breed Abyssinian chromosome D1, whole genome shotgun sequence.
GCCUGGGUGGCUCAGUCGGUUAAGUAUCUGACUUUGUCUCAGGUCAUGAUCUCAUGGUUCGUGAGUUCAAGCCCCACAUCAGGCU